rnacentral:rRNA from 1 species
UUGUCUCAAAGAUUAAGCCAUGCAUGUCUCAGUACAAGCCAAAUUAAGGUGAAACCGCGAAAGGCUCAUUAAAUCAGUUAUGGUUCCUUAGAUCGUACCCACACUUACUUGGAUAACUGUGGUAAUUCUAGAGCUAAUACAUGCAAACAGAGCUCCGACCGGAGACGGAAGGAGCGCUUUUAUUAGAUCAAAACCAAUCGGUGGCGGGUUCGCUCGUCAUCGUAUAACUUGGUGACUCUGAAUAACUUUAAGCUGAUCGCACGGUCUCGCACCGGCGACGCAUCUUUCAAAUGUCUGCCUUAUCAACUGUCGAUGGUAGGUUCUGCGCCUACCAUGGUUGUAACGGGUAACGGGGAAUCAGGGUUCGAUUCCGGAGAGGGAGCCUGAGAAACGGCUACCACAUCCAAGGAAGGCAGCAGGCGCGCAAAUUACCCACUCCCGGCACGGGGAGGUAGUGACGAAAAAUAACGAUACGGGACUCAUCCGAGGCCCCGUAAUCGGAAUGAGUACACUCUAAACCCUUUAACGAGGAUCAAUUGGAGGGCAAGUCUGGUGCCAGCAGCCGCGGUAAUUCCAGCUCCAAUAGCGUAUAUUAAAGUUGUUGCGGUUAAAAAGCUCGUAGUCGAAUUUGUGUCCCGCGCCGCCGGUUCAUCGUCCGCGGUGUUAACUGGCGUGUCGCGGGACGUCCUGCCGGUGGGCUUAGCUCUUCGGGGCGGUCCAACUCAAUCCCGCCGCGGUGCUCUUCACUGAGUGUCGAGGUGGGCCGGCACGUUUACUUUGAACAAAUUAGAGUGCUUAAAGCAGGCUAAAACUUCGCCUGAAUACUGUGUGCAUGGAAUAAUGGAAUAGGACCUCGGUUCUAUUUUGUUGGUUUUCGGAACCCCGAGGUAAUGAUUAAUAGGAACGGAUGGGGGCAUUCGUAUUGCGACGUUAGAGGUGAAAUUCUUGGACCGUCGCAAGACGGACAGAAGCGAAAGCAUUUGCCAAAAACGCUUUCAUUGAUCAAGAACGAAAGUUAGAGGUUCGAAGGCGAUCAGAUACCGCCCUAGUUCUAACCAUAAACGAUGCCAGCUAGCGAUCCGCCGACGUUCCUCCGAUGACUCGGCGGGCAGCUUCCGGGAAACCAAAGCUUUUGGGUUCCGGGGGAAGUAUGGUUGCAAAGCUGAAACUUAAAGGAAUUGACGGAAGGGCACCACCAGGAGUGGAGCCUGCGGCUUAAUUUGACUCAACACGGGAAAUCUCACCAGGCCCGGACACCGGAAGGAUUGACAGAUUGAGAGCUCUUUCUUGAUUCGGUGGGUGGUGGUGCAUGGCCGUUCUUA